rnacentral:rRNA from 1 species
ACGAACGCUGGCGGCGCGCCUAACACAUGCAAGUCGCACGAGCGAGAGAGAGCUUGCUUUCUCGAGCGAGUGGCGAACGGGUGAGUAACGCGUGAGGAACCUGCCUCAAAGAGGGGGACAACAGUUGGAAACGACUGCUAAUACCGCGUAAGCCCACGACCCGGCAUCGGGUAGAGGGAAAAGGAGCAAUCCGCUUUGAGAUGGCCUCGCGUCCGAUUAGCUAGUUGGUGAGGUAACGGCCCACCAAGGCGACGAUCGGUAGCCGGACUGAGAGGUUGAACGGCCACAUUGGGACUGAGACACGGCCCAGACUCCUACGGGAGGCAGCAGUGGGGAAUAUUGCACAAUGGGGGAAACCCUGAUGCAGCGACGCCGCGUGGAGGAAGAAGGUCUUCGGAUUGUAAACUCCUGUUGUUGAGGAAGAUAAUGACGGUACUCAACAAGGAAGUGACGGCUAACUACGUG